GCGGGCAGGAGCGUUCCCAGCCGCUCUGCGAUGGGAAUGUUGAGAUGUUUGGAAAGCAAACAGAAGGGCUGGAGAAACAGCUGGUUCCUGGUGCCUAAGGGAGCCGCUGUGGGGUCAGGAACUUGUCCCACUUCACAUCCUGCCUCCAGGAAUGGCACUGGCUCCUCCACCAAAUCCUCCUGCCUGCCCUGGGCUCCCGCAGGGAUUCCCAGCGGACAUGGGACGCAGCUACUCACAGGAAGGGGCUGCUGAGCUCCUGGUGACUUGUCCUGCUGCCUCUUCCACCUCCCUGCUGCCAGGAUGCUCCUCCAACAAGGGGAUCUUCCAGACAAAAGCACCUGCCAAGCCCAGGAGCAGUUUUUCCCUGUCUCUGCCAGCUCGGUAUGUGACCCAUUGCCCAGCACCCAGCUCAGCACCAGUGUGGCACCAUCCAUCCUGCCCA